rnacentral:rRNA from 1 species
AACGAACGUUCGCGGCGCGCCUAACACAUGCAAGUCGAGCGAGAAAGGGCUUCGGCCCCGGUACAACGGCGCACGAAUGAGUAACACGUAGGCAAUCUGCCCCUGAGUGGGGGAUAACCUUCCGAAAGGAGGGCUAAUACCGCAUGAGACCACGACCCCGCGAGGGGAUGAGGUCAAAGCCGACCACUUCAUGAAAGCUGGCGCUUGGGGAUGAGCCUGCGGCCCAUCAGCUAGUUGGUAGGGUAAUGGCCUACCAAGGCAUAGACGGGUAGCUGGUCUGAGAGGAUGAUCAGCAACACUGGAACUGAGACACGGUCCAGACUCCUACGGGAGGCAGCAGUGGGGAAUCUUGCGCAAUGGGCGAAAACCUGACGCAGCGACGCCGCGUGAGUGAUGGAGGCCUUCGGGUUGUAAAGCUCUGUGGAGGGAGACGAAUAAGGCAUAACUAACAUCCAUGUUGAUGACGGUAUCCCUUUAGCAAGCACCGGCUAACUCUGUGCCAGCCGCCGCCGUAAUAC